GUUUUAUUAGUUUAAAAAAAACAUUGGUCUUGUAAACCAAAAAUUAUAUAAAACU
rnacentral:tRNA from 1 species